GCCAUUCCCAGCUUCUGUUCUUGGAGCUUGU
rnacentral:piRNA from 1 species